UCUUCCCUCUUUCUUCGUGCUUCCCCCCUGCACGUCGACCGGUGAAGGCGGAGCUUGCUCUGCUGGAUCAGUGGCGAACGGGUGAGUAACACGUGAGCAAUCUGCCCCUGACUCUGGGAUAAGCGCUGGAAACGGCGUCUAAUACUGGAUACGAGCUGCGAAGGCAUCUUCAGCAGCUGGAAAGAACUUCGGUCAGGGAUGAGCUCGCGGCCUAUCAGCUUGUUGGUGAGGUAACGGCUCACCAAGGCGUCGCCGGGUAGCCGGCCUGAGAGGGUGACCGGCCACACUGGGACUGAGACACGGCCCAGACUCCUACGGGAGGCAGCAGUGGGGAAUAUUGCACAAUGGGCGAAAGCCUGAUGCAGCAACGCCGCGUGAGGGACGACGGCCGUCGGGUUGUAAACCUCUUUUAGCAGGGAAGAAGCGAAAGUGACGGUACCUGCAGAAAAAGCGCCGGCUAACUACGUG
rnacentral:rRNA from 1 species